CCUACGGGGGGCAGCAGUGGGGAAUAUUGCACAAUGGGGGAAACCCUGAUGCAGCAACGCCGCGUGAGUGAAGAAGUCUUUCGGGAUGUAAAGCUCUAUCAGCAGGGAAGAGAAUGACGGUACCUGAGUAAGAAGCCCCGGCUAACUACGUGCCAGCAGCCGCGGUAAUACGUAGGGGGCAAGCGUUAUCCGGAUUUACUGGGUGUAAAGGGAGCGUAGACGGCGAAGCAAGUCUGAAGUGAAAAUCCACGGCUUAACGGUGGAAGUGCUUUGGAAACU
rnacentral:rRNA from 1 species